UACGUAGGGUGCAAGCGUUGUCCGGAAUUAUUGGGCGUAAAGAGCUCGUAGGCGGUCUGUCGCGUCUGGUGUGAAAACUCAGGGCUUAACCCUGAGCUUGCAUCGGGUACGGGCAGACUAGAGUGUGCUAGGGGAGACUGGAAUUCCUGGUGUAGCGGUGAAAUGCGCAGAUAUCAGGAGGAACACCGGUGGCGAAGGCGGGUCUCUGGGGCAUAACUGACGCUGAGGAGCGAAAGCAUGGGGAGCGAACAGG
rnacentral:rRNA from 2 species